UUUCCUGAUGACAAAAGGCCAUAAGGCCUGAUCUAAUCCCAGCUCGUCGAAUGCCUCACCUAAUUAACGCUUAGAGGCAUUGUGAGAUAAACUCUACUCUGAUUGC
rfam:Fusarium langsethiae strain Fl201059 Fl201059_contig17, whole genome shotgun sequence.